rnacentral:rRNA from 1 species
UACAGAGGGUGCGAGCGUUAAUCGGAAUUACUGGGCGUAAAGCGUGCGUAGACGGUUAUUUAAGUCGGGUGUGAAAUCCCCGGGCUCAACCUGGGAAUUGCAUUCGAUACUGGAUAGCUAGAGUUCGGCAGAGGGAAGCGGAAUUUCGGGUGUAGCGGUGAAAUGCGUAGAUAUCCGAAGGAACAUCAGUGGCGAAAGCGGCUUCCUGGACCAGAACUGACGAUCAGGCACGAAAGCGUGGGGAGCAAACAGG